AGAAGCGAAAGCGGACCGACCCUUCCGGGGAGCUUGUACAGGUGCUGCAUGGCUGUCGUCAGCUCGUGUCGUGAGAUGUUCGGUUAAGUCCGCUAACGAGCGCAACCCUCGCUGUGUGUUACAAGUGUCACACGGAACUGCCGGUCAUAAACCGGAGGAAGGUGGGGAUGACGUCAAGUCAGCAUGGCCUUUAUAUCCUGGGCUACACACACGCUACAAUGGGAAGGGACAAUAGGUUGCGAAGCCGCGAGGUGGAGCCAAUCCAGCAAAACUUCCCUCAGUUCAGAUUGCAGGCUGCAACUCGCCUGCAUGAAGUUGGAGUUGCUAGUAAACGCAGGUCAGCCAUACUGCGUUGAAUACGUUCCCGGGGCUU
rnacentral:rRNA from 1 species